UUAAGCGACUAAGCGUACACGGUGGAUGCCCUGGCAGUCAGAGGCGAUGAAGGACGUGCUAAUCUGCGAAAAGCGUCGGUAAGGUGAUAUGAACCGUUAUAACCGGCGAUGUCCGAAUGGGGAAACCCAGUGUGAUUCGUCACACUAUCGUUAACUGAAUACAUAGGUUAACGAGGCGAACCGGGGGAACUGAAACAUCUAAGUACCCCGAGGAAAAGAAAUCAACCGAGAUUCCCCCAGUAGCGGCGAGCGAACGGGGAGCAGCCCAGAGUCUGAAUCAGCUUGUGUGUUAGUGGAACGGUCUGGAAAGUCCGACGGUACAGGGUGAUAGUCCCGUACACCAAAAUGCACAGGUUGUGAACUCGAAGAGUAGGGCGGGACACGUGGUAUCCUGUCUGAAUAUGGGGGGACCAUCCUCCAAGGCUAAAUACUCCUGACUGACCGAUAGUGAACCAGUACCGUGAGGGAAAGGCGAAAAGAACCCCGGCGAGGGGAGUGAAAAAGAACCUGAAACCGUGUACGUACAAGCAGUGGGAGCACCUUCGGGGUGUGACUGCGUACCUUUUGUAUAAUGGGUCAGCGACUUAUAUUCUGUAGCAAGGUUAACCGUAUAGGGGAGCCGCAGGGAAACCGAGUCUUAACUGGGCGUUAAGUUGCAGGGUAUAGACCCGAAACCCGGUGAUCUAGCCAUGGGCAGGUUGAAGGUUGGGUAACACUAACUGGAGGACCGAACCGACUAAUGUUGAAAAAUUAGCGGAUGACUUGUGGCUGGGGGUGAAAGGCCAAUUCAAACCGGGAGAUAGCUGGUUCUCCCCGAAAGCUAUUUAGGUAGCGCCUCGUGAAUUCAUCUUCGGGGGUAGAGCACUGUUUCGGCUAGGGGGUCAUCCCGACUUACCAACCCGAUGCAAACUACGAAUACCGAAGAAUGUUAUCACGGGAGACACACGGCGGGUGCUAACGUCCGUCGUGAAGAGGGAAACAACCCAGACCGCCAGCUAAGGUCCCAAAGUCAUGGUUAAGUGGGAAACGAUGUGGGAAGGCACAGACAGCCAGGAUGUUGGCUUAGAAGCAGCCAUCAUUUAAAGAAGCGUAAUAGCUCACUGGUCGAGUCGGCCUGCGCGGAAGAUGUAACGGGGCUAAACCAUGCACCGAAGCUGCGGCAGCGACACUAUGUGUUGUUGGGUAGGGGAGCGUUCUGUAAGCCUGCGAAGGUGUGCUGUGAGGCAUGCUGGAGGUAUCAGAAGUGCGAAUGCUGACAUAAGUAACGAUAAAGCGGGUGAAAAGCCCGCUCGCCGGAAGACCAAGGGUUCCUGUCCAACGUUAAUCGGGGCAGGGUGAGUCGACCCCUAAGGCGAGGCCGAAAGGCGUAGUCGAUGGGAAACAGGUUAAUAUUCCUGUACUUGGUGUUACUGCGAAGGGGGGACGGAGAAGGCUAUGUUAGCCGGGCGACGGUUGUCCCGGUUUAAGCAUGUAGGCUGGUUAUCCAGGCAAAUCCGGAUAAUCAAGGCUGAGGUGUGAUGACGAGGCACUACGGUGCUGAAGUAACAAAUGCCCUGCUUCCAGGAAAAGCCUCUAAGCAUCAGGUAACAUCAAAUCGUACCCCAAACCGACACAGGUGGUCAGGUAGAGAAUACCAAGGCGCUUGAGAGAACUCGGGUGAAGGAACUAGGCAAAAUGGUGCCGUAACUUCGGGAGAAGGCACGCUGGUGUGUAGGUGAAGUCCCUGCGGAUGGAGCUGAGACCAGUCCGAAGAUACCAGCUGGCUGCAACUGUUUAUUAAAAACACAGCACUGUGCAAACACGAAAGUGGACGUAUACGGUGUGACGCCUGCCCGGUGCCGGAAGGUUAAUUGAUGGGGUUAUCCGUAAGGAGAAGCUCUUGAUCGAAGCCCCGGUAAACGGCGGCCGUAACUAUAACGGUCCUAAGGUAGCGAAAUUCCUUGUCGGGUAAGUUCCGACCUGCACGAAUGGCGUAAUGAUGGCCAGGCUGUCUCCACCCGAGACUCAGUGAAAUUGAACUCGCUGUGAAGAUGCAGUGUACCCGCGGCAAGACGGAAAGACCCCGUGAACCUUUACUAUAGCUUGACACUGAACAUUGAGCCUUGAUGUGUAGGAUAGGUGGGAGGCUUUGAAGCGUGGACGCCAGUCUGCGUGGAGCCAACCUUGAAAUACCACCCUUUAAUGUUUGAUGUUCUAACGUUGGCCCCUUACCGGGGUUGCGGACAGUGUCUGGUGGGUAGUUUGACUGGGGCGGUCUCCUCCCAAAGCGUAACGGAGGAGCACGAAGGUUAGCUAAUCCUGGUCGGACAUCAGGAGGUUAGUGCAAUGGCAUAAGCUAGCUUGACUGCGAGCGUGACGGCGCGAGCAGGUGCGAAAGCAGGUCAUAGUGAUCCGGUGGUUCUGAAUGGAAGGGCCAUCGCUCAACGGAUAAAAGGUACUCCGGGGAUAACAGGCUGAUACCGCCCAAGAGUUCAUAUCGACGGCGGUGUUUGGCACCUCGAUGUCGGCUCAUCACAUCCUGGGGCUGAAGUAGGUCCCAAGGGUAUGGCUGUUCGCCAUUUAAAGUGGUACGCGAGCUGGGUUUAGAACGUCGUGAGACAGUUCGGUCCCUAUCUGCCGUGGGCGCUGGAGAAUUGAGGGGGGCUGCUCCUAGUACGAGAGGACCGGAGUGGACGCAUCACUGGUGUUCGGGUUGUCAUGCCAAUGGCACUGCCCGGUAGCUAAAUGCGGAAGAGAUAAGUGCUGAAAGCAUCUAAGCACGAAACUUGCCCCGAGAUGAGUUCUCCCUGAGACUUUAAGUCUCCUGAAGGAACGUUAAAGACGAUGACGUUGAUAGGCCGGGUGUGUAAGCGCAGCGAUGCGUUGAGCUAACCGGUACUAAUGAACCGUGAGGCUUAACCUU
rnacentral:rRNA from 1 species